rnacentral:rRNA from 1 species
UCCUACGGGGGGCAGCAGUGAGGAAUAUUGGUCAAUGGGCUUACGCCUGAACCAGCCAAGUCGCGUGAGGGAAGACUGCCCUAUGGGUUGUAAACCUCUUUUGUCAGGGAGCAACGCCGGCUACGUGUAGCCGGACUGAGAGUACCUGAAGAAAAAGCAUCGGCUAACUCCGUGCCAGCAGCCGCGGUAAUACGGAGGAUGCGAACGUUAUCCGGAUUUAUUGGGUUUAAAGGGUGCGUAGGCGGAAUGCCAAGUCAGCGGUAAAAUCGCGGGGCUCAACCCCGGCCCGCCGUUGAAACUGGCAG